UACGUAGGGACCGAGCGUUGUCCGGAAUCAUUGGGCGUAAAGAGCGUGUAGGCGGCCACUUAAGUCCUGCGUGAAAUCUUGCGGCUCAACCGCAAGCGGUCGUGGGAACCUGGGUGGCUAGAGUGCGGGAGAGGAGAGUGGAAUUCCUGGUGUAGCGGUGGAAUGCGCAGAUAUCAGGAAGAACACCCGUGGCGAAGGCGGCUCUCUGGAACGCAACUGACGCUGAGACGCGAAAGCGUGGGGAGCAAACAGG
rnacentral:rRNA from 1 species